UACGUAGGGUGCGAGCGUUAAUCGGAAUUACUGGGCGUAAAGCGUGCGCAGGCGGCGCGUUAAGACAGGUGUGAAAGCCCCGAGCUUAACUUGGGAAUUGCGCUUGUGACUGGCGUGCUGGAGUGUGGCAGAGGGAGGUGGAAUUCCACGUGUAGCAGUGAAAUGCGUAGAGAUGUGGAGGAACACCGAUGGCGAAGGCAGCCUCCUGGGCCAGCACUGACGCUCAUGCACGAAAGCGUGGGGAGCGAACAGG
rnacentral:rRNA from 1 species